GAUGAACGCUAGCUACAGGCUUAACACAUGCAAGUCGAGGGGAAACGACAUCGAAAGCUUGCUUUUGAUGGGCGUCGACCGGCGCACGGGUGAGUAACGCGUAUCCAACCUGCCCAUCACUUGGGAAUAACCUUGCGAAAGUAAGACUAAUACCCAAUGAUAUCCCACGAAGGCAUCGGAAUGGGAUUAAAGAUUUAUCGGUGAUGGAUGGGGAUGCGUCUGAUUAGCUUGUUGGCGGGGUAACGGCCCACCAAGGCAACGAUCAGUAGGGGUUCUGAGAGGAAGGUCCCCCACAUUGGAACUGAGACACGGUCCAAACUCCUACGGGAGGCAGCAGUGAGGAAUAUUGGUCAAUGGGCGAGAGCCUGAACCAGCCAAGUAGCGUGCAGGAAGACGGCCCUAUGGGUUGUAAACUGCUUUUAUAAGGGAAUAAAGAGGGUCACGUGUGACUUUUUGCAUGUACCUUAUGAAUAAGGACCGGCUAAUUCCGUG
rnacentral:rRNA from 1 species